UGUGUGUGCGUGGACUGGCCCGAAGGUCUCUGCUCUCACCAGAUGGAUGUGGUCUCCCGUAAACAAUACCAGAGUGCAUCUGUGCAGUCACCGGGUUAUUCUACACUUGCAAACUUGUUAGAGGAACUAAUCACGGCCACCUGGUCAGGUUAGCAUAGGGCUAAAUGUGCCAGGUUACGUAAUAGGAUUCGCUGCCAUGUCGCGUUUCAUCACAUCCAACUAUGUCAACAAACAAUAAUACUUUUGACAAACUUAAAGCCUUGUUACUUUGGUUUGAAGAAUGACAAACUUAAAGCCUUGUUACUUUGGUUUGAAGAAUGACAAACUUAAAGCCUUGUUACUUUGGUUUGAAGAAUGACAAACUUAAAGCCUUGUUACUUUGGUUUGAAGAAUGACAAACUUAAAGCCUUGUUACUUUGGUUUGAAGAAUGACAAACUUGUUGGAACGUGGAAAGUACAGUGUGUUAAAAAGAGGGGCAUCCUUUUUAAAGCUGUUGGUAUAGUGAAACAAAUAGCAAUAAUUUCCCUGCUAUAGAACGUUUUAUCCAGUCUCACUGUACCUUACAUUGUGGUAUGGGGACUCCUUUCAACAGCACCCUUCUUGAUGGAACAUGGCAGCCAUUUUGUGUGUUUGUGUGUGUGUAUGCUUGUGUUUAUGCAUUUGAGUGUGUGUGUGUGUGUGUGUGUCCUCCCCACCGAAGUAACAAAGCAGAUCUUGCCAACACAUUCAGAAACAGUAAACAGCCUGUCCAGAGAUGUCUGGGGGCUGUUAUGACUGUGACACCCACAGUCAGAGUCCUGCCCCGAAGAGGAGCACCACUCCCCCUACCUGGACACGAACAGAAUGGUGCUCCGUUAAUUACUGUACCCCCAUGUAACAUGUGCUCUGCUCGGGGCGAUGACACAGUUCCUUGUAAGUAAUGUCAAACAGAGUGUGACACAGCACCACAUGUGGGGCCUUUCUAGGGUUGCAAAACUCUGCUAACUUUCCUGUUACUUUCCUGCUAACUUUCCUGUUACUUUCCUGCUAACUUUCCUGUUACUUUCCUGCUAACUUUCCUGUUACUUUCCUGCUAACUUUCCUGUUUUUCCUUGAAUUCAGGCAACCAUCCUCCUUACUCUAAAGUAUCUCCGUUUCACAGGGUAUUUUGAAUGAAAAUGUAACGUCGAAGCACAGGAGAGUGCUUUAAGACAGCAUGUCAUGCCCAAAUGGUUCAGGAGAAAUAGUGUUCACCAAUCUGGAACUUGUGUGUAUAUCAGUUUCUUCAAAUAGGAGACGUUAAAAAAUGCUUGGAGGGCCAGACGGCACACGCUUGUGUCUGGAUUGUUUUGACACGUGUGUGUGUGUGUGUGUCCUUUGCACUGUAUUUGUCCACAAAAAAAAGGUGCAUUACUCCCAUUGUUAUGAGCAGUGUCUUAUGCUCUCUGUCUUUUUCUCUUGUGUUUUCGUAGGAGAUUUGUAAAAGACAUGAUUUCGUAAAUGGGGGGGGGGGGGGGGGAGUGGUGACACAGAGGGAUGUGUCUGUCCUGAGAGAAGAAAAGAAGAAGAGAAGGACGAAAGUAGCCGGGGGAUCGAAUAGAAGGAGAAGAGUCCCGAAAGUUACAGAGAGGGGGUAUAAAUGUUUUGUGGUGGGAUCUGAGAGCAAUGUGAACAACUACAGGUGCAACUCGUACAGAUGGACGUAACGUAUGAAAUGUGCUGAAUAUAUCCAUGUAUUUAGAUCCUAAUAUGUACACAUGGAAUUGCUGUAUUCAUUUGAUGCUUUUGGAACGUCUCUUCAUAAAAUCUCAAAUGCUGAAAUAUCCUGUCAAAAUA